rnacentral:rRNA from 1 species
GUCGGGAAUUUUGGGCAAUGGGCGAAAGCCUGACCCAGCAACGCCGCGUGAGCGAUGAAGGCCUUCGGGUCGUAAAGCUCUGUCGAGAGGGAAGAAGGUUCUCGGGGUGAACAAUCCCGGGGAAAAGACGGUACCUCUAAAGGAAGCGCCGGCUAACUCCGUGCCAGCAGCCGCGGUAAUACGGAGGGCGCAAGCGUUGUUCGGAAUCACUGGGCGUAAAGCGCGUGUAGGCGGCUUGGCAAGUCGGGUGUGAAAGCCCGGGGCUCAACCCCGGAACUGCACUCGAAACUGCCUCGCUCGAGUCCCGGAGAGGGUGGUGGAAUUCCCGGUGUAGAGGUGAAAUUCGUAGAUAUCGGGAGGAACACCAGUGGCGAAGGCGGCCACCUGGACGGUGACUGACGCUGAGACGCGAAAGCGUGGGGAGCAAACAGGAUUAGAUACCCUAGUAGUCC